rnacentral:rRNA from 1 species
UCCACCCUCGGCACCGGAAUAGCCCGGGGAAACCCGGAUUAAUGCCGGAUGGCCCGCCGGCCCCUCGGGGCUGGCGGAAAAGGUAGCUUCGGCCUCCGGCCGAGGACGAGCCCGCGACGGAUUAGCUUGUUGGUGGGGUAACGGCCUACCAAGGCUGCGAUCCGUAGCUGGUCUGAGAGGACGAUCAGCCACACUGGGACUGAGACACGGCCCAGACUCCUACGGGAGGCAGCAGUGGGGAAUCUUGCGCAAUGGGCGAAAGCCUGACGCAGCGACGCCGCGUGGGGGAAGAAGGCCUUCGGGUUGUAAACCUCUUUCAGGAGGGACGAAGCCACUCGGGUUAAUAGCCCAGAGGGUGACGGUACCUCCAGAAGAAGCCCCGGCUAACUACGUGCCAGCAGCCGCGGUAAUACGUAGGGGGCAAGCGUUGUCCGGAUUUAUUGGGCGUAAAGAGCGUGUAGGCGGCCAGGUAGGUCUGCUGUGAAAACUCGAGGCUUAACCUCGAGCUGUCGGCGGAAACCAUCUGGCUAGAGUCCGG